GAUUUUGUCCCUGUGUAACUCCCUAUGAGCAGUAGUGUAAGGGGUACGAGUUUACCAGUCACUGGAUCUUCAGGGAUUCCGACCCACGGUGCAAAGUUACGGGAGUAAAAGUCAUAUCCUAGCUGUGACGUUGGUGCUCCUUUCACUGUGAUGUAACACACCUCUUGAAUAGGCAAAUCUCCCACAGCAGCCUGUGAAGUUACGAAAAUAGCUAUGGGAAUCUAGACUGUAUUUUCAGGUUUUUUGGAAACCCUGGAUUCUGGAUCCUGAGCUGGAUCGAUUCUCUCCCUGACGAGAGGGAUGGCGAGCCACCUGUGAUGAACCCCUGGACUUUGGGAAGCCUUUGAGUUAUUCGUCUGCCUGCGGUCAGCGUGGUAGGAUUGAGGAAAGGAUUUCCGGAGACAACUGAACUGAAUGGAGAUUUAUAUUUUUGGGGAAAUAUUUUAUUUUGGUGCACCAGAAAUUACAUUCAUUGUCUGAUUGUUGAUGUUGUGAAAUGUUGGAAAUUCAUGUUAAUACAAUUAUCUUGUUAUAAUCUAACUUUGUGCCCUAGUUACUCGUGGUGGUGUCCAACUCAGUUAAUUACCCCUCCCUGCAAAUCUAGACUAAUCUGGUCCAGUGUCCAUUUACCUUAUAGGCGGGUUACAGCUAGUUUGCCUGCUUCAACAGCUACCCUCA